CCGAUGUAGCUCAGUUGGCCAGAGCACGUGAUUUGUAAUCUCGGGGUCGUGGGUUCGAAUCCCUCCAUCGG
rnacentral:tRNA from 4 species